rnacentral:tRNA from 1 species
GCCUGGGUGGCUCAGUGGGUUAAGCGUCUGACUUUGGCUCAGGUCGUGAUCUCACAGUUUGUGGGUUUGAGCCCCGUGUCGGGCU